rnacentral:antisense_RNA from 16 species
AAUUAUGGUGGGGCGUAACGGGGGAGCGCUUGCGCUCGCCGGGUUCUGUGUGGCCGGUCUGUCAACCCUGUUACGUCUCGCCUCC